rnacentral:rRNA from 1 species
CCUACGGGCGGCUGCAGUGGGGAAUAUUGGACAAUGGGCGAAAGCCUGAUCCAGCCAUGCCGCGUGUGUGAAGAAGGCCUUCGGGUUGUAAAGCACUUUCAGUGGGGAAGAAAGCCUUGGGGCUAAUACCCUCGAGGAAGGACAUCACCCACAGAAGAAGCACCGGCUAACUCCGUGCCAGCAGCCGCGGUAAUACGGAGGGUGCGAGCGUUAAUCGGAAUUACUGGGCGUAAAGCGCGCGUAGGCGGUCUGAUAAGCCGGUUGUGAAAGCCCCGGGCUCAACCUGGGAACGGCAUCCGGAACUGUCAGGCUAGAGUGCAGGAGAGGAAGGUAGAAUUCCCGGUGUAGCGGUGAAAUGCGUAGAGAUCGGGAGGAAUACCAGUGGCGAAGGCGGCCUUCUGGACUGACACUGACGCUGAGGUGCGAAAGCGUGGGUAGCAAACAGGAUUAGAUACCCCUGUAGUC